rnacentral:rRNA from 1 species
UACGAAGGGGGCUAGCGUUGCUCGGAAUCACUGGGCGUAAAGCGCACGUAGGCUGAUUGCUAAGUCAGGGGUGAAAUCCUGGAGCUCAACUCCAGAACUGCCUUUGAUACUGAAGAUCUUGAGUUCGGGAGAGGUGAGUGGAACUGCGAGUGUAGAGGUGAAAUUCGUAGAUAUUCGCAAGAACACCAGUGGCGAAGGCGGCUCACUGGCCCGAUACUGACGCUGAGGCACGAAAGCGUGGGGAGCAAACAGG